rnacentral:rRNA from 1 species
ACGGGUGAGUAAUGCCUAGGAAUCUGCCUGGUAGUGGGGGAUAACGUUCGGAAACGAACGCUAAUACCGCAUACGUCCUACGGGAGAAAGCAGGGGACCUUCGGGCCUUGCGCUAUCAGAUGAGCCUAGGUCGGAUUAGCUAGUUGGUGAGGUAAUGGCUCACCAAGGCGACGAUCCGUAACUGGUCUGAGAGGAUGAUCAGUCACACUGGAACUGAGACACGGUCCAGACUCCUACGGGAGGCAGCAGUGGGGAAUAUUGGACAAUGGGCGAAAGCCUGAUCCAGCCAUGCCGCGUGUGUGAAGAAGGUCUUCGGAUUGUAAAGCACUUUAAGUUGGGGGGAAGGGCAGUUACCUAAUACGUGAUUGUUUUGACGUUACCGACAGAAUAAGCACCGGCUAACUCUGUGCCAGCAGCCGCGGUAAUACAGAGGGUGCAAGCGUUAAUCGGAAUUACUGGGCGUAAAGCGCGCGUAGGUGGUUUGUUAAGUUGGAUGUGAAAUCCCCGGGCUCAACCUGGGAACUGCAUUCAAAACUGACUGACUAGAGUAUGGUAGAGGGUGGUGGAAUUUCCUGUGUAGCGGUG